AUGAGCUUUCAGUAAGACUUUGUUUGGGCGCAGUACCAAAAGUUUCCACUAGAUGAGAUUAAUUUCCAAUGCGGUCAUUUAUAGAAGUGUGAGUAUUUUUUUUUUUUCAGGACCAUUUAACCUUUUCAAAUCAUGUCCAUGAUUUGAAUGCUAUAAUGAGUUAAUCCUUUACUAAUAUAGGCCUACUUUAGCAUAAACUAUUACUUUGUUUUAAUUGUAAAAUUAAAAAUCUUCUGAAAUAGUGUGAGCGGUAAUGGCAUAUGAGAGAAGGGGGGAAAAACCUUCUUAAAACCCUAUUUCGCAUGACAGAUCUUUCUCCAAGGCUGUUUUAUCCUGCAUGUGCAGGUUUGUAACACAUGCGUCUUUAAUUCGUUGCUAAGUAAACAGCACUGAACCUUUUGUCGGGCCACAACAGCUGCCCGGCCCACCAUUGUACCGAGACAGUCUGACCGCAGCCAGCUCAGUGCACAAGAACAGAGCGGGAUGUUCAGCCUUCACCUCCUCCAAUGAAGAGACUGUCAGUGGCGUUCACAAUGUCUUAGUAAAACAGCCCUCCAGGAGAACUCGAGUGACGGAGAGUCUCGAGUUAGAGGACGGAUGCACACACAAAGAGCAGGCCGUGUAAUCUCUGGUCCAAGUCAACAUGAUUUGCGUGAAUAGUCAAUGAGUUAUUGGUAAUCACGAUAUACUUCAAAAUCUGCUUAGACAUCAAAAAAGUAUGUGGCCUCGAUCCUCUGUGUUUAAAUAAUAAUUAAUAUGGUAAUAUUAAAGCGCACUUAUUAAUAAUGGCUUUUCAUUAAGACAAAUUUAAAAGAAGAAAUAAAAUUAAGUUAAAUAUUGCACAAUACACCAAUGCUCAUAUUCAUAUAGCCCCAUAAAAUUCCCAUGGUUUGAUUUAACCAUGUAAAUUAGACAUUAAAUAUGCUAUUAGACUAAUUUAUCUGUGUUUCUAAAGUUUCUCCCCAGAUUUCCAUCCAUUCACUCGGAACUUCACGUCAAUGCUUGAUGAGGUACGAGAACACUUAACAUCAUUUAAUGUGGUUGCGUACACCCGUAAACAAACACCAACAAAUAAACAAACACAAAGUGUUUUCCAUGCUCAAUUUAACUGCCUGACACAGUUUCCAGAGUUUCACAGGGAGAUAAAAGGACAGAGUAAAACCCUCAGCUCCAGUCAACAUGAAAUAUACGGAGAACCGGUCAGAUAGCUACCCAGAAUAUUGUUGAGCAAAGUUGUACAAAGACUACAAAACCCCAUCUGUUAAAUUUUUAACAUGAAAUGAACUGUAUGUUAAUCAGAUAAGUUGAAUGAAUAAUAAUUCAGUGCCUUAUUUACAAAAAAAAAAAAAAAAAAAAUUGAGCCUUUUGGGUCAUUUUUGGGGGUUAUUUUUCCAGUGUUUGGGUAGUUUUUGUGUUACCCAGAUCCUGGGUCAGACGUAACAACCCAGGGGUUGAGUUAUUUAUCGCGGGCUUUUUGCGCCCUCUUCAGGAGAGAGCAGCGCAGCUCUGUGAAAUUGGUGAAUGUCUUCGCUAAAAUACAGUGACGGCGGUCCUGAUGCUGCGCGGAGGAUGCAUCUCAUCUCCAUCAGCCGGUCCAGCUCUCUGCGGGUCCAGGAUGGCCAACCCGCAGCAGAUCCCCAAGCAUCCCCUUGUGGACCUCACUUUGAAAACCACUGUUGUAGACCAUCCCAAG